rnacentral:rRNA from 1 species
UACAGAGGUCCCGAGCGUUGUUCGGAUUCAUUGGGCGUAAAGAGCGUGUAGGCGGCCAGAUAGGUCUGUUGUGAAAACUCGAGGCUCAACCUCGAGACGCCGAUGGAAACCAUCUGGCUAGAGUCCGGAAGAGGAGAGUGGAAUUCCUGGUGUAGCGGUGAAAUGCGCAGAUAUCAGGAAGAACACCCGUGGCUAAGGCGGCUCUCUAGUACGGUACUGACGCUGAGACGCGAAAGCGUGGGGAGCGAACAGG